AAGCGUUUGAAGUCAGUCGCACCUCUCGGGACUCAGCCCGGCUUCUGCCCGGUGUACUUCCUGUUGGGUGGGUCAGUGUCAGUUUCGGACGGGGGAGAAAGGCUUGGGGAAUGUGGCAGUCUUCGGGCUGUGUUAUAGCCCCUCGUUGUAUACCUCGACUGGGACUGAGGACCGCAGCGCGCCUUUAUGGCCGGGGUUCGCGCCCUCGGUACGCGCUUAGGAUACUGGCGUAAUGGCUUUAAGCGA
rnacentral:rRNA from 1 species